GUCGGGACGGUAAGACGUGUCGGGAAGAUUCAAACUUGUAUUAAAUUCUCGUUGUAGAAAAUAUCUUGAUUAUUAAACGACAUAAUGAAAGUGUCCUUCCAUAUUUUCUUAAUAAAUAUGCUGAUAACAUUCAGCCUAAUAUUAUCACUUGGAAUGUCAAAAAGUGUCCGUCCAACAAGACAGCUUUCGUCUACGAUCGACAUAGGAAUGUCAGAAAGAGUAUUUUCAACAACACAACUUGCGUCUACGACUGACAUACCUUUAUUUUUUAGACGUGCACGUAUUGGUAUUAUUAUAAAUCCUCCGAAACAUGAUGUUACCCACCAGGGGAACUAAAAGACUCACACGGAAUAUGUUGCGAGAAAUAGCAUUAAAGACAAACAAGUAAUUAUCAAUUAAAAAUUUGAUACCUUUAAUUACAACAAAAGGAAUGAUACAGGAUCGUCUACGUAAAGUGUGACAACCCAAAAACUUUAAAAAUAUUUAUCGUAUCAAAAAAUUGUUCAUGACAAAAUUUUAUAUACUCGAGAGGUUUUUCUAACUAUAAAUAAAAGUCCGCUCCGGCUCUCCUCUGAAAAGGGGUGGGAAGUAGUGGUGGGGGGCGGAAAGAAAUAAGUAAA